CUCAGAGUUCACUGCUAUACAAUUCAUCAUAUAACCAAAACCAAUUGUACCCCAAAAGCUAUUGAAAUAAAAAAUAGAUAUAAUUUUUAAAAAUCAAAAAAAUAAUGAAAUAAAAACAACACACAUCUACACAAAAAUUUGCACACAAAUGUUCAUAGCAGCAUUAUUCAUAGUAGCCAAAAUGUGAAACCAAGCCAAAUGUACUUUAACUGAUAAAUGAAUAAACAAAAUGUGGCUAUCCAUAUAGUGGAAUAUUACUCGGCAAAGAAAGGAAUAAAAUAGCUGACAUGUGCUCCACAUUAAUGAACAUUAUGCUAAGUGAAAGAAAUCAGUUACAAAAUAUCAUAUAUCAUGGGAUCUCAGUUACAUGAAAUGUCCAGAAAUGUCAAAUCUAUAGAGAUAAAAAGAAGAUUUAUGGUUGCUUGGGGCUGUGGGAGGGGGUGAGGAGGUGAUGGACUCCUCACUCUAUUUUGGAAAUGAUUCUAAGUAUGAGAUUGGCAUUUGAAAAAUCUACCUUAAUCACUUAGUAACAAGUAACUUCUAGGGGGUAUAAAGUUUAUUUUAGGGGUGAUAAAAAUGUUUCACAUUAGAUUAUGGUGUUUGGUGUACAACUCCAUAAUUAGACUCAGAACCAAUGAAAAGUACACUUUAAAAUGGUAAACUUUUAUGAUAUGUACAUUGUAUCUCAAUAGAGCUCUUUUAAAAAAGUCUUAAGGGAAUAUUUUAUUAAUAUUAGUAAUCACUGAAAAUGAGAAGAGUUCUAUACAAUUUUGCCUUUUCCUUUUGAGCUCCCAUUCUCCUCUCUACAUCUCUGCAUUCGCCAUAUUUAACCCCCAGAAGAAACUUGGUUGAUUGUGGUACUUUUCAUACAGAACUUUUUCCUCUUCCAAUAUAUUCUGAAUUUGUUUGGUUGAUAUUUUUCUUGAAUGAGGGGCCCACAACCAAACAUAAAACUGAAGCAGAAGUACCCACCUUCAAUAAUAUGCUUUCUUGACAGCCCUCUUUCUGUUUCAGCUCUGCCAAGAAAAAGAAGCAAAUAACUUUGAGUGAGAGUGUGCUUUCUUUUUUUCUCUAAAUCUGUUUUAAAAGUGCAGAAGAAUAAUCAUUCUUAGUCUGAAUUGCUAAUUUUAUAUCCUGUUCUUAUCAAAUUCUGCACCACUGGAGGCUGAGGAGAGAAGUCUGGUGGGCAACACACUGAACCCCUUUUCUUUGGAGACCUCAGAAGAUUAUCCACGACUGUCACCGUGCCACUAACAUGCUCAGUACCAGGCUCCAGUUAACAGCAACUCAGCCACACACACUCUGUCCGUAUUUAACUUGAGACACUGUACAACCUUUUCACCUUGUUCUCAAACAAGCUAAAGAAAAUAAAAAGGCUUGACAUAGGUUUGUGGGUUCACUGUAAGAUUGCCAGGCUGCUGAAAUUUUUUGUUAGCUUUUCUGAGAAACAACACAAAUUUGGAAGUAACUUUUGACUUCCAAAAUAAAAUUUAAAACUAUUUUUGUUCAAAAUGUGAUGAAGCAAAUAUAUAUUCAUUAAAUUAGAAUCCUCAGAAGACAGACUAUUAAUAAUAAGCACUUUUGCCUUCCCAAUUCUCAAGCUCUGGCUAAUUAGAAAGAAAUAUGGUACUUGAAUUUUAAAGUAUCAAUAACAUGUUUCUUCAACAUCGAUACCUCUGCAGCUUCUUUUUAAAUAUAUUUUCCAUUCACGUUUGUGACAGUAUUCUUAUUCAGUAUUUUAAAUAAGUAUAUUAGAUAAUACUGUAUUCUACUACAUAUUCUACUACAUAAUGGUUCUUGCAGCCUGUAUAUCAUUUCCUGCAAGGUUCCAUAGCAUUGCAAAAGCACCAAGCAAUGGCACUGUGAAUCAAAACAUGGACAAUAGAAAUCCACAUUUCUCAUAGCAUGAUGUUGCUUUAUUUUUAUACAGAUUACUACAGGAAUAAAAAUUUAAAUUACAUCUUUCUCUCUUCAUAUCAUUAUAAAUAGGUUCAAAACCAACAACAAAAUAGAGUAUUUUGCAACAACAAAUUGUUUGCAAGUGUGUAUAUAAACAUAUACAUUUUGAUUAGGAGGUUUCUAAAGAAGACUUAGCCUCUGCCUCCAAUUAAAAAAAAAAAAUUCCUAUCAAUUAUAGGAAGGUAAAUAAGGUUUUGUUUGUUUUUGCUUUUUGUUAAAACUCCAGCAUUUUUCUUUUUUGAGAUUUCUGUCUCAAAGAUGGAAAAGCACAGUACCAAUGACUGCUCUGGUAUAUGGAAUUGCUGUUUUCUCAUAUGUUAGUCAGAAAGGCUGGCCUUCUAAGGCCUGCUGGAUAAUGUAAGUACCAGUUCAAAUGCUAGCAGGCCCAAAAGAAGCCAAUUUAUCCCGUGAAACCUGCUCUGCAUCCCACAACAGAGAGUGCUUCCAUUUGGCCUGACAGCGAGUGAUUUAGGUAGCUCCGUGUUAUUCUCCAAUGAGGUGGUCCUUUUGAUCAGCACUUUCAGCCCUCUGCAGAAAUGAUCAGAGACUUAGACAUGGAGCCAGACAAGAUAUUUUUAUCUUUGCAUUCUGUAGAAGUCUCUGAGUUUUGGCAGAUUUGAGUAGCUUUUCUUCUGUGAUGCUUUGUGUCUAUUUUUCUUUCCUGAAAUUUGAACUCUAUUUUGGAAAUGAUUCUAAGUAUGAGAUUGGUAUUUGAAAAAUCUACAUUAAUCACUUAGUAACAAGUGACCACAUGCUUUGCACUAAAUUUCUUUGGGAGUACCUUGCUAAAAUUAAAUCUUAGGCUAAUUGCUAUUUCCUUAGUGUGAGAAAGAGAAAAAAAAAACCCUCUCUCUAAACUAAUUAAUUGUAGUUCAUUUUAUGUAACACAACUGCCUAACAGCAAAAAAGCAGGAACUACUAGUUGUUUCCUGCUUAGAAGGAAAAAUAACUUACUUUCCACCCCAGUAGAGUUUGGUUGUUAUGACCAGACUGGAUCUCCUGUAUAUCAAAUAGACAAACACAGAGAAGCAGUAAAUAAAUGCAGGUUAUUGUCCUGAGUCAUAUUAUUAUAACAGCACCAGAAAGAAUCUGUUACUGUACCUCACAUUUUAAAAACUGGUAAAGAAGUAAAUUUGUUAAUCCAUCUCACUGAAAUAAAGACAAAGAGAAGCUAGUGAGGGGUGACUCAAAGUCGGAUUCUCGAGGAAGAGGCUGAAGGGAAAUGAUCUUUGCCUGGAGGGGCUGGAGGAGGUGGAGGGCAGUGAUAACAAGUCAGAUUGGGAAUUGACAGCAAGCCCAGGCCAACGUUGCAAAGUGAAGGUGAGUGGUGGGCCAGCCUGGAGGGUCAGAAAUGGUGAGUAGGAAUGGAAGUGAAAGGACUGAGGGGGUGAAUCACUUUAGGAGGUCAAAUGAGCAAACACCGAGGAACACAGAUUCAGCAUCUGGCCUAAUGCUGACUUCAUGUGAACUCCUCCCAAGAGGACUCCACUCUCUUCCAAGGAACAUGAACCCUUGCAGCCCCGUGUUAUUAUCCCUUCUAACAUCACAUUCACAGGCAGGAACUGACUACAUAGAAAUCUAAAUGAUAAAAUGAAUUAUAAUAGUAAAUAUUUAGAACAAACAGGAAAAAAAGGUCUUUGAGUGUCUUAUUAAAUGGAAAUGUCAUUUUAGGGAAACAGUUCUAAAACCCUCAGCUCAAGGUUCUACCACUUUACUGUUAAGGGAAUGAAAUGUACAAAUCUUGUCAGCAAACUUAUUACCUUCUGAAAGGCACAACCAAGGGCAGGAUAUGCAAUCCUAGCUGUCUUGAGAACUACAAGUAUACAAUAAAAUUGGGAAACAGAUCUCAGUGCAAUUUUGUUUCCCUUGGUAUGUAAUUUGAUUACACUGAUCUAGAAAAAAAAAUCAUUUGAGAUUUAAAGGUUAAGGCCAAUCUUCAGGAGUGCUUGAAAUAAGGCAUUUGUAAUUCCAUCAUCUGUAGAGUCAGCGCUUCAGGGCUCUCGGUUAUAAAAACCUGGUAUGAUUAAUGAUAACCAGUGGGGAAUGAUGGUGACAACUCUGACAACUUGGUUACAACAAGAAAAAUGUGUUGAAAAUGUUUGCAGUGCCAUCCCAUUGAAGUUAAUCCCUUGAAAAGUAAUUUUAAUCACUGUAAUGGAAGGUCGAUACAUAUAUGUACCUGGAGAUUACACAACCUGAAAGGGCUGAUGUACUUUUCAGGUUAAUACAUCAACAUCAUGAUACCUAUUAUAAUAGCAAUCUGCCACAGCGGAGCCCAGGCUCCUUUAGCACUUUCAACCUUCAACGAAAAGCUGGAUGGAAUGUUGUAAAAAAUGAAUGUAGUCCUUUUGAUUAUUCAAAGCUGCACAUUCUAUACAAACACUGCCACAGACCUAGGUUUUUAAAGUUAGGCUUCCUGUAAAAUAUUUGGACUAUAUGGACAAAUAGCAAGAGCAGACAGCAGCCUGGCAAAUUAUCACUGACUCUCACCGAGACUUUUAGAGCAAGUCUUCUGAGAGGGUAGAGUGAUAAUGCACUUUACAGUGAUACAGCACAGCCUUCAAAAUACUUCUGCGCACCUUAUCUCACUCUGUCAGCAUGACAGUUCAUGAACUGUUAUGCUGUCCAUUUUACAGGUGGGUAAGUUGAGAAUCAGAGAAGCAUAAUAACUUCUCCCAGAUAACACAGCUAGCAAGUGGUAGCACCAGGACCAGAAGUCAAGUGUGCUAAUCGAAAUAGCUUUUAUAGGCUCAAAGCUAUGAUGAUAUGGUUUAUCUUUUCACCAGUCUUGUGGGGGCAACUGUGAACCAAUAUAAACCAUUUGGGGCAUAAUGAUAGCUCAAGUUUUUAUUUGCAAGAAGUUUGUGGAAUAUGCAUGGUAAUCUAUUUUCUAUAUAAAUAUAUAAAAUGGGUGCUGCAUCUACGAAGAGUGAUAAUUCAGUGUUCUCUGGAUGUUGAGAAAGAAAAGAGCUACUGCACUGAUGCUUCCCCUUCUUCCUUAGAUGUACUCUGGCAGCCUACACCUUGUUGCAGACCUCACUGUAUUAUUAGUGGAAUUAUCUCCAAGGUUUCUGUUAUAAUUGAAUUGUAUAUCCCAAAGAGAUAUGUUAAAAUCCUAACCCACAGAACCUCUGAAUGUGAGCUUAUUUGGAAAUAGGAUCAUUGCAGAUAUAAUUAGUAGGUAGAGUAGGCCCUUAAUCCAUUAUGACUGGUGUCUUUAUUAGAAGACACACAGGAACAUGUGAGGAGAGCUGACGUGCUGCAGCUGCAGGCCAAGAAAUGCCAAGAGUGGCUGGCAACCACCAGAAGCUAAGAGGAAGCAAGGAAAACCUUGACCCAGAGUGUCAGAGGGAGCAUGGCCCUGACAACCUUGAAGUCCAACCUUCAUUUUGGACUUCUGGCCUUCAGAAACAUGAAAGAAUAAAUUUCUGUUAUUUUAAGUUAUCCAGUUUUUUUGUCCUUUGUUGUGGCAACUGUGGAGAAUGGAUACAGUCCCUAUUUAGGCAGUUAUGGGUGAACCAAUGCUCUGAGUGGGAAAGUAACUCAGGCAAGUCAGGUAAGGUGAAGGACUGAGUGGGAACAUGAAUAUUUUUCCAUAUAAAGGUGGAAUAUAGCUUUCUAUUAACAUUGUUACAGUUCCCUGUGGUGGGGGAGGAAGAGAAGGGAGAGGGAGAAAGUAGGUCACCAGAGUUUAUUUGUUCAUAUUUCUAUAAAUGUUUGGUUUUCCAUUUCCACAGGGCUCUCCAUUCCUACCAAAGUUUAUCUCAGAGUGAGGAGUAAGCAGCCCUAAAUAUACAUGCAGGGAUGUUUCACCUUCUUAGUUUCCCUUUCUAGAGGGAGUUUAAAUUAUGUGUGCAAAAGUGUAAUAAAACCACUCUUGAACUCUUUGAGAAUGCCCAUUUUCCCUAGAAUAAAUUUAGAAAAUACAUGCUAAGUGUUGACGCAUGAGUACACAGCACUUUGCAGUUGUCUUCACUAAUACAGUUUCACUGUAAUUUAUUUGGUAAUCAGCAAAUAUUAUGCUAGGACAGAGGAGGACCCCAAACUUGUCCAGUAAUCUUUGCUGCGCUUUGCUUAAUUCUGUCCUCAUGCUGGGGAAGUAGUGGCUGUUGUAGUUGAAGUCUAUAGUGAAAUGGGGCGGUAUUACCCCCGCACCACCCAUAGAUGUUACAGCUUCCCUUAUUACAACACUGUCUUUGGCUACAGAAGGUGAUGGAAAGGGACAUGUAAGCACAGCCCCGUGUAUUUCUCAAGGAUAGCAGAUGAGGCACUUUUCUGAGUACCCAGAUAACAGGGUUCCUGGGCAUACAGGAGAAAUGCUGACUAAAUGUGUUCACAUAAGAAAGCUUUGGGGUGUUUAUCCAAGAGACUUCUUGUUUCAUCAUUUCUUUGCAUCUAGAGUUAAUAAAAUAAACAGGAAAUAUAAAUGCAUGUGUGUAUGGGGAAUAAUCAGCUUCCCGUCAGGUUACUUCCUUCAACAGAUUAGCACAAAUGGCAGUCAGAAGCCAUAAAAUUGUCACUUUUUUAUGCACAAAUAUUUCAUGAACAUCCCCUCCUUCAUUUGGUAAUUCAUUGUGAUCAAUGACUAGUCAAUAAUUUUUGAAGCACCAGAAGUGAACUUGCUGGCAUUUAUUUUUGAGCCUCUAUAAAUCAUUUCUUUACCAACAGUUGAUUUUUUUGACAGCCUUUUGGUCAGGUGUCAUAUAGUUUUGUUUUUCCUUCUUUGGUGCAAAAUAAUAUCUUUUUAAAAAACAAUAAUUAUGGCAAAUGCAAUACCUCCAGCCUUUCUUCUUGAUGAUGCUCCCCAGAAUCACUUCAGCCCUGGAGUGGGAAACAGAUAAUGUCUUAGGGUGCAGUAUCCUGGAAAAGCAAGAGUCAAUCCAGAACACAAGAACCAUUCCUUGUUUGAACUCUCAGUGCCUACAUAUCCCGAAAAUAGAAGCUGCUCUCGGCUGGUAGCACAGUUUCCGCUGUUUCUGCUUGUGCCUGCAGAAUCUGCUCCGGAGCAAUCCAGAAGCACCUGCCAAAUCCUGACACGCUCGCAGGAGACUGCCUGCAGUCCUGAUACCAAGCAGCAGCAGUCAUUUGGCAGUUUGGUGUUUGUGAACUACUGAUCCCAUAUAUAAAUGUCCUGCUUGGUGGCAUCCAAAGGGAGUCAAAGUUUUCCUUCUAAUUGCUAUGGAGUAAUUCAGUUGUGACCAGGGAGGACAAUGAGACUUCACAUUGUUUAGAUAGAAAAUAUUGACUCCUGGGUAUAAACUGAGAACUGAUGUGGGUUUAGAUGUCCCACAUAGAGAACAUUCCCAUAUAGAACGUCCUAGGUUCCAGUGACAAACUUUGUUAUAGGAGCAAAAUAGAAGGAGACAUAACGAAGUGUUUUUCCUGCCCCUAAGGCUGGGUUGCAGAGGCAUCCACUGUCCUCUCCUCUUCCCCCUACCCAGGCUGGGACCCAAGAUUGAGGAGAAAAAUGUUCUAUUUACCUCCCAGUAAGACCAACAUUGUUAGAAGCAACUGGGCUCUUUGAGGCUUAGUGAACGGGAGAUAAAUGGAAUUAGCACCGGGUCCAUUAGGAUGCUGUGGAUGGGGGUCAUGGCUAAUCAUUACUGGUCUUAACUGAAAGUUCCGUCUUUUUUAGAGUGUAUAGCUUGUAAUAAGCCACAGUGUGGGUUAGCUGUGGAGUAUGCCCCAAAGAAACAGGCAUUAAGUCUUGCACUGGUGUUGCUUUUGUUUCUCCCUGUCUCUCUGUUACCUUUUGCAACCUUGUAUUUCACAGUGGAAACCUAUCUCAAUUAUAGACUAACAAUCAAUUAAUCAGAACUAUUAUCCUCACAGGAGUAAUACAAACAGGACUCUAACAGACUUGCUACUAAACUUCUCCCUUUUUCUAUCUUAGCUAUUUGGUACUCAGCAGGAUUCUACAAGAAGAAAACAAUGGAAAGGAGUAGAAGGCAGAAAGGAGCAAGGCCCCAUAACCUCUACUUUCUCUCCUUGGAUUCAACAGACUGCAUCAGGAAUGUGAGCUCUAAACCUCCUGGAUGGACCUUAAAACAUAUACCUGGUCUUGAAAAGGAGGAAACUCACACAAGGAAAAUGCACAGGGCCAUCCACUGAUCAUCCUGAUUCAGCAAGUCCAGCAAUUUGAUUGUAAUUCUCACCUGGAAGGAGGUGAAUUAGGCCUGCAGAGUUUCUAGGAGCAACACCCUUUCCCUGGAGUUACAGUUUUAAUUGAGGCCUAGGAUUCCAGCAGCUGCCUUUCUGCCUGAAGAAGCAAUUGAUACACAAAGUAAAGCCAACUCAUCUUUGAGAGGCACCUGACAGAGUUCGGUGUUUGUAUCCUUUUAAUAAUAUCCCUGAUAAAUGGUAAUUCAAUAAAAGCUGAACUCUCCCAGAGAUGGGGACAUCCUCACCUCCCAAGGCAGUGUUGACAAUGAUGUAAUUGUCAACAAUUAACUCAGCACACUGUGGUUUGGCCAGCCCUAGUAUUCCAUAUUUGCAUCUAUUUUGUGUUGAGAUUAUUUGAAGCCAGAGAACAAACAGGAAAAUCUAGGUAGGUAAACUCACUGCUAUUGGUCUGCAUUUUUGCCACACAGAAAGCAUUGAGCUCAAAGAAUUCAGCAAUGGGUGGCACUGAAUCUGGCUGUGUUUCCCUUCUUCCCUUUGCUGGCAUUCUCUCUUUGGGGACCCAGGGAAGGCCACAAAUGCUCUCUGGAGGUACAAUAGUUAUUUAUUUGGUCUGCAUCUAAGGUGAGUGCUUCUGCAGUCAUUCAUGACAGUUUUAUUGCAGUUUUUAGACUUGAAAAUUUGAAAUUAUUCAUCUCAGAGGUCAGCCCUGCACACUAUAUCCUGGGCUAGCUUGGCUUAUUGAAGCAGAGAGUAGACACUGUAAAGAGGAGAGUGAAGACUAGGGAAAAAUAAUGUACUUUACUUGGCCCCUCUCCUUAGAAAAGGGAGAUAUUUUUGUAUUUUUCCCUUCCAAGCACCAUCUAGGCAGUAGUAGGUUAUGUAUGUGCUGGAUACAAUGGAUUGUCAAUUGCAGGCCUCCCUCCCUGCUUGCCACCUAUUUUAUAUGAGACCUCAAGUUCAUAGCCUGUGCUCUGCCUUCUGUAGCUUUGCCUUUGUGCUUCUCCCAUACACCCCUUCCUGGUGCCAGUCAAAUAGAGCCCUGUAGUAGACUCUGUGAUGUGCCCUCAGGUUCUCCUUUGGAACCGAAGGACUUACUCCUUGAGCUGCUGGAAACGCUGCCAUCAAAUGGCCUACCGCUCUCAGCCCUCUCUGGAAAUUGCACUUAGCUAGAGAGUGUUACCUAUGACUGGUCAGUAAGAGAACAUAAAGGCCCAGUCCUUUAUGUUGUCCUAAACUGAGACAACUCUGCAGAACCAUCUUGGCUUUGGAGAGUCCUAUGGAGUUGGCUGAGGUCACUGUUGAGGCUGCAUCAUGACCCAAGUUCUCUGUCUGCCCAGUGCUGCUUUCUUCCCUGCCCUGUGCUGAUUCUGACAACACUUCCUAAUAACUGUCCUGCAUGCUAGUCUCUAGCUUAAAGCCUGCAUGCCAGGGAAGCCCCCAUGAGGCAAGCCCUCCAACAUGACAUGUGCCCAAUACAGGAAGAGGCAUUAGGACAGAUAAGAAUACACAGUUAAGACCUCUGUCUCAGAUCUGCUAAAUAACACUGGUGAUUUUGGGAGCCGUGGAGAAAAGCCUCUGUUUCCCAAGUGUCUCCUUAGGAAUGAUAGUAAGAACCACCUUUGUAAAGUGCUUAUUCUGGGCCAGGUACCCCACUAAGCACUUUAUAGGCAUCAUCUCAUUAAUCUUAAUCACCAUCCUGCUGAGUAGAGGGUACAAGUAGUUUACCGGUCGGUCAAAGGUAGAGUGGGACUGGAUCCCACUCAGUGCACCUACUCAGAUACACUAUCGCUGACUCUUCCUGAAGGUAGACAAGGAAGGCUCAGAGGGACUCAAGGCAUUGCCCUCAGGGGAGUUCUUGGUGCUCAAUGCCUGCAUACCUCACUUAUUCCAUGAAGGUAUUCCUUAAAGGAAACGAUAAAAACAUCACUUUGGUAAGUAGUGUUUUGACUGUGUAAAUGAUAAUCUAAAAAUUUUAUGAUAAAUACAAUGAUCAUAGCUAUAUUUAUUGAGUGUCUGCUACCUACUAGUCAGACAGCUACAUAAACGUCUGACAGGCAUGAUGUGUUAGUCCUUUCAACAGACCAUCAGGUUUAGCAUUAUCAUCUCAUUUUAUAUAGGAUGAACUGAGGAUCAGAGAGGUUAGAUUAAGUUGCCCAAGGCAGAUGACCAACUGUCCAUUUUCCCAGGACUUAGAGCGUUUCUGCAACGUGGGGUCUCAGUACUAUAACUGAAAAACUUCUGUGCAAACUGAGACCAGUUAGUCAUCCUAGUUGGAGCUAAAAAUAAACAAACAAAUGGAUAUAGCAAAACCACAUAACAGUCAUACAAUCUUUUAAUAAAGUGACUAAUGUUUAUUCCAAAUUGUUUCAUUCUCUAGCUGUUCAACCUGCGUAAAUAAUGUACAGCUUCAAGGGCUAUUAAUAAUCUAAAUGUAAAAAACGCAACAGGCAAAAUAAAAUCGACAAUAAUCUCUGAGUCAGUUUAACCAUUUCCUGUGAUUUAAACCCUGUAGAAUGCCAGGGUCCCAGGAAGAGGACUCCCGCUAUAUAGCACUCUCUGCAUUUUCUUCCAUCAGCAUAAAGAGGCCAAAGGACCAUGGAUGCUAGAGUACAAGAUCCAUUCUUGCUCCCACUGAGCUAAGAAGCUACAUGUUCUAAAAGUGAAGAUGAGGAAUCAAAGAUUAACCAACUUGAUAAGUGAAAUACCCAGGAUUCCCCAAACAGGACUGGCUUCAAGGAGGGUACCCUUUUCACCACAUCACACUGCCUUAUUAGACCAUUUCCAAAUUAAAUAUGGCAUUUGGAUUUCAUACUCCAUAUGAAUAUGUUGGUAUAAUUGUACCUUUUCUCUUACUUCUCAGGUACUAAAACAAAAGUAUGGUAUAAAUUGUUUUAUUGUUAUGCUCUGCGUAUCCAGAGGUUGCAAAUGAGCAGCCCGCAGGGGGCGCUCAGCUGGUGGACUCGUUUCGCUUGACUAGAAUGGUGUUGAUUCACUUGGUAUUUUAAUAAAUUUUGAAUAAGUUACCAAUAUUGAAACAAUUAGAAGAUUUUUCUUAAUUUGAUUUCCAGCUUCCUUUGACAGUGAAGGGCUAAUGUUCUCAUGACGUAGACAGUCCCUAAAUAAGAGGACUGUGCCCCUUCAGUUAAUUAAAGCCUUCCUGUUGUAUUCCCAGCACUGAAAUCAAAGAGUAGUUGCUUUUUACCAUGUGUUUAUUGAUAUUUUUCUUACUGUAAAAAGAAGAGGAAAAUGAACUUGUGCAUCUCCUAAAAAACAAUUAUUAUAAGAAAAAAUAGGAACACACCUUUUUUUUUUGGUAGGGGGGAGGUGGAUGGGAAGAGUAUUCAAACAAAGAAUGUUUGCAAAGAAAAAUUACAUCUUAAGGCACCAUUAAAAAAAAUCAGCCUUGAAUGGUACACAGAAAAGAUGGAUGUUAGAAAAUUUAAUGAACUGAAGAAAUGGCAGCAUUUGCUUUUGAAUGAGAAUAAAAUCAGUGAGCUGCUGUGAAAUGCAGUUCUUUAUUAAGUGAAAAAAUUGCCUGGGCAUCAAAACCUUUUUACAGACAACACAGUUUAUAAAAGAGUCUCUUUUGAAUGCUGCAGAAAUUAUGUGUCCAGACCCUCAACAGGCAUUUGCAAAUGUUAGUCUAACGAGCAGCUUUGUAGCUUGGUAUGUUAAAAAUAAGAUUGAGAACUUUCAGGUCCAGUUAAUUUAUGGGUGGCAUUUUUCUCCUGCAGCAAAUGAGAACACAGACAUAAAGAACAGCACACUGUUAACUAUAUUUAUUUGUGGUGUGGUGAGAAUUUUGAAGGGGUCAAAAAACUUCAGGACAAGGAGCCCAUGAAAGGUAAAACAUCAGGAAAUGGCUGACUGUGUUAUGAAAAAGGUCUCAGACCAUUUGGAUGUAGAAUGCACUGGUCCAAGUCACCAAGUGUUACUACAGAUGGAGCUCUGAGGAUGGGUGGAGUUGAUGUCAGGCCUGUCAAGCAACAGCACAGAGGUGGCACUAUUUUGUAGGGACACUAUCCCUAAGUCCAUUACUUUCCUCAUUCAUCAGAAAUUGCUUUGGGCACAAAGCUAAAAUGGGAGAAGCCAUGGAUUCAGUAAUUAAUACCACAAAUUGGCUAUUGUUCUAUGCCUUUGAGUAAAAUCAGGUCAACGUUUACUUGAUGAAUUUGCUGGCUUACUUGCAUUGUGGUGCAGAAGAGAUUUUUUUAACUGUAAAUGUCAUCACAGGGGAUCGCCCUAUCUCUGCUUAGCAGUGAAGAUUAGCCCAAAGUCCUGAGCUUUUUGCUGACUCUACAACUUAUCAAUACCUUUUGACUAUUUUUCUAUAGGUACAGUCACAAGUAUUGUACAAAUAUUUCAUCUGUGAGCUUCUCUCAGUCCUGAUAAAGUGAACGUUUUGGGAAAUUCAUUUGUAAAAUAAUAAUGUCAUCUACUUUCCUACAUUGCAAUCAUUUUCCAGAAAUGAAGAUGAAAGCCUAAAAUUUAUUCUCUAAAAAUGCUAUUGAAGACCAAAUUCUAAAAAUAUUCUCAGACUUCAAACUUUAUGAAAGUAAACUAACAUUAUGUAGCUUACCUUUCUUAUUUUUUGAUAGUACCUAUGUUGGGCUAUGAUUUGACAUUAUCAAACUGUAGUGCAGAAAUGAUACUGACGUCUACAUGAGGUCUAAGUAGAACAAUGCUGAAAGCCAAGAUUGUACACACAUUUUGGAAGCGGUGAUUCUAGAUAUAAGAACCAUUGACAGUAAUUCCAUCCAUGUUAGGAAGAGCCUAUGUUUAGGAGCAACUCUACCCCAAAAUGAAUCUGAAAAAAACUACGAACCACCCUCCUGGCUUAAGUGUUUAAAGCUGCGUUCUGCACAUCACAGUGAAAAAUACAGGGCCUGAAACACAUUUUGGUACAGAAGGAAAGAUGUGAGGUUUCUGAUUCCAAAUUAAAGCCGUAAUGAAUUAUGAAAUAAAGAUAUAGCAAUAAUUCUUUUCCCUUUUCAAUUAGUUUUUAAAAUUUAAUAUAAAAUAGCAUAUCAAUAUUAUAUAUAUUCACUUUGUUACAUACCUAUUCCAUAACUUAGUAAGAAUAAACUGUUUGCUUCCAUUUCUGGGAGGUUGUCAUUUUUAUAUUCAGCUUACUUUGUUCAGGAUAACUAUCUCCCUGGCCCUUUGAAACUUGCUACUCAUUUGUUUCUAGCUGUUCGUUUAUAGAGUUUAUAUAUUUUACUAGAAAGUAAGCUGUCUGAGGGCUACACUUUUAUUUCAUUCGUCUUUGCAUCUCCACAGCCCCAGAAUAGAAGUGGGUUCUUAGUACAUGGUCAGUCAGUGUUGGUUAAAUUGAAUUACAUUGCCUUUUUGACUAUUAUUAUUCUUGAAGGUUUUAAUCUUGAUAAUUAAUCUUGAAGGUUUUAAUCUUGAUAAUUAAUCUUGAAGGUUUUAAUCUUGAUAAUUUCCUACCAAACAAACAUCUUUAUUAUGAUUUAUAGAGAAAUGAAUAAUGCUCAUCAGUAAUCUUUAGUUCUUCUCGUCUCUAGAUGAUUGAAAUGUUUCUCCCUAUCCCCGGGUACCCACACAGCUAUGCCCCUUUGUUGGAAAAGGCCAAGGGAAAGUCUUUCUCCUUGGCUGAAAUGCCUCUAGCAAGGAGGUGGGUAGGUGGCCCAGUGUAGGUGGGGUCAAUCGACUACCCCUGAGGAGGAGUUGCCUCUCACAGAUACCACACAUUCUCUCCUGCUGGAGAGAAAUUGGGCGACAGCCUUCUUGACAGAAGAACUUUGUUUCUAUGGUUCUAUUUUCUACUGAGCUCCACUCCAGAAGAACUAAAGUGACUUGUUAGUUAAUAUGAUUUUCAAAAACCCUUUGUGACAGUUUUCUUAACCAUUUUUUUGCCUCUAAUGAGAACAUGUUUUCCUGAGACCUAGGAUAGCAUACAAUUAUUUACUGUGUAAUCUCAAUUUAGUGGGAUGUUUUUUAGAAGAUGAUUUUACUAAACUGACAUUUGUUGUUUCUAACCUUUUUUAAAAAAGGGGGAGUAUCACAGUGGCUCACACCUGUAAUCCUAGCACUUUGGGAGGCCGAGGCAGGCAGAUCACGAGGUCAUGAGUUCAAGACCAGCCUCACCAAUAUGGUGAAACCCCAUCUCUACUAAAAAUACAAAAAUUAGCCAAGGCAUGGUGCUGGGUGCCUGUAGUCCCAGCUACCUGGGAGGCUGAGGCAGAAGAAUUGCUUGACCCCGGAAGGCAGUGUGAGACUCCAUCUUAAGAAAGAAAGAGAGAAAGAAAGAAAGAAAGAAAGAAAGAAAGAAAGAAAGAAAGAAAGAAAGAAAGAAAGAAAGAAAGAAAGAAAGAAAGAGAGAGAAAGAAAAGGAAAAGAAGGAGGGAGGGAACUAAAGAUAACUCUUUGAACUGUUUUGGUGUUUUCUGAUCAAACUUUUUUAUGCACCAAGGAAUAUAUGCUUUGAAAGCCAUUGUUAGGUCUCUUGGAGUACAGCUACCAUAGCAUAGAAAAAUUAUGAAUGAAACAUAAAAAGAACAAAACUGCCUGCCCACACACAUCUAUCUUGGUUAUGUCGUUAUCUUUUGGUGAUUAUCAGGGUAAUUACUUCUUGCUUAUUUAUUCAAACAACAUGUUUAUCAUUUAAAUGACUGCCUUGCUUUACAUAUAAAGAUAUAUUUAGACAUUUAGAUGAGAUAAUUUUAGUGUCUCACAUCACCAUAGUGUAAUUUUCAAAACCAGGGAAUUAACAUUGGUACGGUACUAAUACAACAGGCCGUUCUGGAAUUUCAUUGUCUUUUUCUCUUCCAGGAUCUUAUGUAGCAUCCAACAUUGCAUUUAAUUGCAUUUUUUUCUUAAUCUACUCCAAUCUGUGACAGUUCCUCAGUCUUUUCCUGUCUUUCAUGAUGUAGACACAUGUAAAAGUACUGAUCAAGUGUUUUGUAGAGUGUCCUUUAAAUUGAGUCUAAGUCAUCUUAAUUAAGGUUGUAAAGUUGGUGAUAUCCUUCUUUAUAUUGUCAGUUGGACUGCUUAUGGUUUGAAUAUAUUACUAUAGCUAUCAAGAAGACAACGUAUAAAUGCAUCUAUAAUAUUAAUAUUUAUUAUGCCACAGUUAACAUUUCCUUUCAUUCAACAAACAUUUAUUGAGUCUAUCUACCAUGUACCAGGUAUUGUACUUAGUUUAUCAGGAUAAAACAGUGAGCAAAAGUGGUAAUUAUUUCUCCCAUCAUGGACCAGAUAUAUGGGGAAAG